GAUGAACGCUGGCGGCGUGCCUAAUACAUGCAAGUCGAGCGAAUGGAUUAAGAGCUUGCUCUUAUGAAGUUAGCGGCGGACGGGUGAGUAACACGUGGGUAACCUGCCCAUAAGACUGGGAUAACUCCGGGAAACCGGGGCUAAUACCGGAUAACAUUUUGAACCGCAUGGUUCGAAAUUGAAAGGCGGCUUCGGCUGUCACUUAUGGAUGGACCCGCGUCGCAUUAGCUAGUUGGUGAGGUAACGGCUCACCAAGGCAACGAUGCGUAGCCGACCUAAGAGGGUGAGCGGCCACACUGGGACUGAGACACGGCCCAGACUCCUACGGGAGGCAGCAGUAGGGAAUCUUCCGCAAUGGACGAAAGUCUGACGGAGCAACGCCGCGUGAGUGAUGAAGGCUUUCGGGUCGUAAAACUCUGUUGUUAGGGAAGAACAAGUGCUAGUUGAAUAAGCUGGCACCUUGACGGUACCUAACCAGAAAGCCACGGCUAACUACGUGCCAGCCGCCGCCGUAA
rnacentral:rRNA from 1 species